rnacentral:rRNA from 1 species
AACCAGCUCUUCAAGUGGUCGGGAUAAUUAUUGGGCUUAAAGUGUCCGUAGCCGGUUUAGUAAGUUCCUGGUAAAAUCGGGUAGCUUAACUAUCUGCAUGCUAGGAAUACUGCUAUACUAGAGGGUGGGAGAGGUCUGAGGUACUAUAGGGGUAGGGGUGAAAUCUUAUAAUCCUUGUAGGACCACCAGUGGCGAAGGCGUCAGACUGGAACACGCCUGACGGUGAGGGACGAAAGCCGGGGGAGCGAACCGGAUUAGAUACCCGGGUAGUCCUGGCUGUAAACGAUGCAUACUAGGUGAUAGCACGGCCGUGAGCCAUGUCAGUGCCGUAGGGAACCGUUAAGUGUGCCGCCUGGGAAGUACGGUCGCAAGGCUAAAACUUAAAGGAAUUGGCGGGGGAGCACCACAAGGGGUGAAGCCUGCGGUUC